rnacentral:rRNA from 1 species
UACGGGGGGCAAGCGUUGUUCGGAAUUACUGGGCGUAAAGAGUGUGUAGGCGGUGCUCUAAGUUCGGUGUGAAAUCUCCCGGCUCAACUGGGAGGGUGCGCCGAAAACUGGGUGCUGGAGCGCGGGAGAGGAAAGCGGAAUUCCUGGUGUAGCGGUGAAAUGCGUAGAUAUACAGGAGGAACACCGGCGGUGUAGACGGCUUUCUGGACCGUAGCUGACGCUGAGACACGAAGCGUGGGUAGCAAACAGG